UAGUUAAAUUUUAAAGGUAAAUUCUGCCCUAUGAUAAUUUAAAUGGCUGCAGUAUUCUGACUGUGCAAAGGUAGCAUAAUAAUUAGUCUUUUAAUUGAAGGCUGGUAUGAAUGAAUAUAUGAGAAAUUAAUUUUAUUUUUUUUAUUAUUAUAAUUUGCUAUUUUAGUAAGAAAGCUUAUUUUUUUUUUUGGGACGAUAAGACCCUAUAGAAUUUUAAUUUUAUUAAUUUUUAAUUAUUUUUUAGUUUAAAAAUUUUUUAAUUUUAUUAAUAUUUUUUUUGGGGCGGAUAAUAAAUUUGACUUUAUUUUUUUAUUUCAUUUUGUUUAUGUUUUGUUGAUCCAUUUAUGAUUAAAAGAUUAAAUUACCUUAGGGAUAACAGCGUUAUUUUAAUGGGGAGUUCAUAUCUAUAUUAAAGUUUGCGACCUCGAUGUUGAAUUAAGAUUAGAUUGAGGGGUAG
rnacentral:rRNA from 1 species